rnacentral:piRNA from 1 species
UAUUUAAAGCUACGGGGCCAUGGUCUAUGC